CCUGCAUUGUGUGCUUACAACUGGGGAUAGAUGGCUAAGAAGCAGUUCCAAGUAUAUGACCACCAGGCUGCUGCCCACUAGAGUUCUGGAAGCGGUCCCUGGGCCGCACUAUUUAGGUUUUGCAAUGGUUACCACACACAGAAUCUCACACCAGCCAGGAAGGCCUCCUGGGAGGCCGGGACAGGCUCAUACAUAGGCAUGUCCCAUGAUCUGCGAGUCACGCCCAGGCCAUCAGAAGCAUGUGGUGUACUCAGGCAUCCUGGGAGGAGCCAUGCCGUGCCUUGCAUCAUGUCUGGCUGUGGGUGACGUGUGUGGCUUGUGGCGAUGACUCGUGGCUAUACAACACAUUCGGGUACAGGGAGGAAAACAGUGAGGCCAGUGACCCAGAACUGCAGCAGAAAGGGCGCUCACAAGUGGUGGGCUCUGCUAGAAGAUGUCAGACACCAUCAUGAUGAUGGGAAAGCCCAUGAAGGUGACCAAGGAGAGCUGCCACGAGAGGCUGAACAUGAAGACCACCACGCCCGUGACCUUGACCGUGUUCCGCAGGAAGAUGUUGAUAUUCUGGGAGACCAGGUCGCUAACCAUUGUGGUGUCCGAGAACAGCGUAGACAAGGCUGGCCCUUGUUUCCUGCUUGGAAAACAGCCCAAGGGGUGGGCGGUGUGAAAGGGGAACCCCGAAAACAGAAGCCAUUCUUCGGGACAAGAGGGUAUGGUUCAAUCAGAUGGAUGGGACUAAGCCAGUUGGGUUGUUGGUCACCAUAGGGAGAAGCGGAGGGGCGGGACCCUUGGGGACAUUUCUUGGGCCUCCCCAGCCCAAUUUCCUCCCAGGGGCUGGUCCUGACCUCCCUCCCUCCCU